UACGAGUGCCUCAAGCGUUAUCCGGAAUCACUGGGCGUAAAGGGUGUGUAGGCGGUUAUAUUAGUCUUUCGUUAAAGCCCCGGGCUUAACUCGGGAAUCGCGAGAGAAACGGUAUGACUAGAGAAUGUGAGGGGUGUAUGGAACUCUAAGAGUAGGGGUGAAAUCCGUUGAUAUUUAGGGGAACACCAAAAGCGAAAGCAGUACACUGGCACAUUUCUGACGCUGAGACACGAAAGCGUGGGUAGCGAAUGGG
rnacentral:rRNA from 1 species